rnacentral:misc_RNA from 1 species
GAUGAAGAACGUAGCGAAAUGCGAUAAGUAAUGUGAAUUGCAGAAUUCAGUGAAUCAUCGAAUCUUUGAACGCACCUUGCGCUCCUUGGUAUUCCGAGGAGCAUGCCUGUUUGAGUGUCAUUAAAUUCUCAACCUCACCAGUUUUCUGAACUGUUCUCCGAGGCUUGGAUGUGGGGGUUUGUGCAGGCUGCCUCAGCGCGGUCUGCUCCCCUGAAAUGCAUUAGCGAGUUCGAUACUGAGCUCCGUCUAUUGGUGUGAUAAUUAUCUACGCCGUGGAUCGGGGCUUAGACUCGCUUCUAACCGUCCGCAAGGACAAUACCUUGACAAUUUGACCUCAAAUCAGGUAGGACUACCCGCUGAACUUAAGCAUAUCAAUAGCGGAGGA